rnacentral:lncRNA from 1 species
CACCGCACAGUAAGGAUUUAUUAUAACACAUAGUAGAAGAUGAAGACUGUCUGUCCCAUCUCUUGAAGGCCAGUACAAUAAAUCAAAGCCAGAAGUGGGGUGUGCAACCACAGUUUUGAUUCCCCAGUGUGACACCUUCCUUCCAGUUGGAUGUGAGGACUGAAACGUUCCUCCAGCAAAGGCUGGCAGAUAGAGAUCCUCUGGGUUAUUGCAGACCAUGCAGGCAGCAGAGCCAUUCCUCCCCUGUUUCAGGCCUGGCCAUUACUGAUACCUGCCAUGACUUUGGCUCAGGCACACUUGGGACCUCAGCUGUAACCAGGAAGGAUUACCACUGGGCACUUUGGCUGGUUCUCACUCCAGGGUGAUUACAUACCUCAGGUUGAACAAGUCGACUUCAAUCCUGCUUUUCAGCCUUUAUUCAGCUCAAGACGACGAGCUCCAGGACAGGUCCCCAGCA